AGCUUUGCGCAGUGGCAGUAACAUAGCUGAUGAGGUUCAUCCGAGGCGUGUUUAUUGCUAGUUGAAAACUAUACCCAAUACCCCGCCCUGUGGACGUAUAAACCGUUCGCUGUGGCAAUUUCUGAUGAGUUCCCCGGAAC
rnacentral:snRNA from 1 species